AUUGAACGCUGGCGGCAGGCCUAACACAUGCAAGUCGAGCGAGCGGCGGACGGGUGAGUAAUGUCUGGGAAACUGCCUGAUGGAGGGGGAUAACUACUGGAAACGGUAGCUAAUACCGCAUACCAUCAGAUUUGCCCAGAUGGGAUUAGCUAGUAGGUGGGGUAACGGCUCACCUAUGCGACGAUCCCUAGCUGGUCUGAGAGGAUUACCAUCCACACUGGCACUGAUACACGGUCCAGACUCCUACGGGAGUCAGCAGUGUGGAAUAUUGCACAAUGGGCUCAAGCCUGAGGCAGCCAUGCCGCGUGUGUGAAGAAGGCCUUCGGGUUGUAAAGCACUUUCAGCGGGGAGGCGUUACCCGCAGAAGAAGCACCGGCUAAAUACGUGCCAGCAGCCGCGGUAAUAC
rnacentral:rRNA from 1 species